UCCCCCUCUCCUUGAAGUGGGUGCCCCAUGGCUACGGCUGUGUUCUCCUUGUCUAGUGAUAAGGGUCCUGGAUCUAGUCAGGGAUGGGGGAAGAGCGUCAGCAGUGAUUAUUAAGACUGCCUGGACUUAGCCGUUCUGCCCCUAUCUGUCUACCUGAGAGAAACGCACAUGCCUACACGCAGGUGCUUCUGUUAGGGGUGUGUGUGUGUGUGUGUGUGUGUGUGUGUGAGUGAGUGUGUGAGUCUGCACGUGGUGGUCAGAGGACAACGUUUAGCGAUUGGUUUUCUCUUUCUACCACAUGGGUCCUGGGGAAUCAAACCCAUGCCAACACACCUGGUGGCUGUACUUAAGGAAAGAGUACACUGAAAUGGACAGGCAACACAGGAAGAGAACACUCUGGAUGGCUACAUGAUGGUUACUCCGGAAAAUACCAUUUGCCUCAUUCCGGGUACCAAUCCUCUCGAUGACACAGCAACUCUGGCCUGGAUGAACCUGAAGGGCCCUGAGGCUCGCUUUGAGGGCUUGUCCAGCAUGGGCCGUUCCUCCCGUGUACCCAGGAGAGCAGUAGCAGUUUCCCAAGUGCUCUUGACUGAGACAGGAAGACAUUUUCCCCCCCGCAGUCCUCGCGGGACUCGAGCCUCCACCUCCCAGGAGCCGCACCCACACCCGGGAGAUUUGGAAGCCCCUCUCUUCGGCGCAACCUCCUCAGGCAAUGCUUCCACCUGUGUCUUCUCAUUUGAUUUACUUUUGUUUUUUAAAAGAUACUCAAAUUUUCUGGAAGCUGUGGGCAGCCAACCACAGUGGCAAAUGAGAUGCUUGCAUUCCCACGUUCUCUGCCGAGCUCAUUGAGACUCCACGGCAAAGCGACAGGAAGCACACUGUCAUUGCUUUUAGCUUUUGUCACCAGGUAAUUAAUCAUGGUUACAGAUAAAUCUGAUUGCUGUCUUCCCAAGCAAUGCUGCACACACCACAGG